rnacentral:rRNA from 1 species
AUACAGAGGGCCCGAGCGUUAAUCGGAAUCACUGGGCUUAAAGCGUACGUAGGCGGACAUGUAGGCAUUUUGUGAAAUCCCUCGGCUCAACCGGGGAAUUGCAGAGUGAACCACAUGUCUUGAGGCGAGUAGAGGCGGUCGGAACGAUAGGUGGAGCGGUGAAAUGCGUAGAUAUCUAUCGGAACGCCAAAGGUGAAGACAGGCCGCUGGGCUCGUCCUGACGCUGAGGUACGAAAGCGUGGGUAGCGAACGGGAUUAGAUACCCCGGUAGUCCACGCCGUAAACGAUGCACACUAGGUCGGGGAGGUUUGACGCCCUCCUGGCCGAAGCAAAAGUGUUUAGUGUGCCGCCUGGGGAGUACGGUCGCAAAGGCUAAAAACUCAAAGGAAUUGACGGGGGCUCACACAAGCGGUGGAGCAUGUGGCUUAAUUCGAAGCAACGCGAAGAACCUUAUCCAGGGUUUGACAUCCCGGAUUAAACCGUCGAAAGACGGUCUACACCCUUUGGGUGGAACGGUGACAGGUGCUGCAUGGC